GUCCCUUUCCCUUUUAUUCCUAUUUUUUUCUCUUCUCUCCUGAAGAUUAGGCCAAGGGCUGGGAGUAGGGAAGGGAUUAGCUACUAGCAGCAAAGAAAGAACUGACUUGGACCUUUUGAGAUGAUCCCUAACACACUGUAAUGUUGUGCUUUCUCCUCUUUAACUGGAUUGGGCUUUUCCUGUCUUUUUGCCUGACCACUUUUGCUACACAAAGGCAUGGGGCCAUUUCACAGUUUGGUCUCUCUCUAAUUAAGUAGAACCUGCUUGUCAGGUUUUCCACUUAUUUCCCUGGAUAUUUCGAUGGUCAGUAUUGGCUCUGGUGGGUGUUCCUGGUUUUAGGCUUUCUCCUGUUUCUCAGAGCAUUUAGCAGUUAUGAUGCCAGAAACUUUCUUUCCUU